rnacentral:rRNA from 14 species
CGAACGACUCUCGGCAACGGAUAUCUCGGCUCUCGCAUCGAUGAAGAACGUAGCGAAAUGCGAUACCUGGUGUGAAUUGCAGAAUCCCGCGAACCAUCGAGUCUUUGAACGCAAGUUGCGCCCGAGGCCAUCCGGCCGAGGGCACGCCUGCCUGGGCGUCACGC